CACAAGGUUAUCCAGCCCAACCUAUCAUCAGAGGCUGAAAUAUGUUUUGAACAGUGUGUCCACGCUCACAGUCCGCAGUGCUUCCUCUGAACUCUGGGAGCAAGUCUUUGCACAAAAAAGACACUUGGCUGACAGCAUCCGGAAAUCACCUGCAAUCCCAAAGCCUCCGGAAUGCACCUGCAAUCCCACAGCGUCCGGAAUGCACCUGCAAUCCCACAGCAUCUGGAAUGCACCUGCAAUCCCGCAGCAUCUGGAAUGCACCUGCAAUCCCACAGCAUCCGGAAUGCACCUGCAAUCCCACAUCCAUAGCAUCUGGAAUGCACCCGCAAUCCCACAGCAUCCGGAAUGCACCUGCAAUCCCACAGCAUCCGGAAUGCACCCGCAAUCCCACAGCGUCCGGAAUGCACCUGCAAUCCCACAGCAUCCAGAAUGCACAAUCCCACAGCAUCCGGAAAGCACCUGCGAUCCCACAGCAUCUGGAAUGCACCUGCAAUCCCACAGCAUCAGGAAUGCACCUGCAAUCCCACAGCAUCCAGAAUGCACCUGCAAUCCCACAUCCACAGCAUCCGGAAUGCACCCGCAAUCCCACAGCAUCCGGAAUACACCCGCAAUCCCACAGCAUCCGGAAUACACCCGCAAUCCCACAGCAUCCAGAAUGCACCUGCAAUCCAACAGCAUCCGGAAUGCACCGGCAAUCCCACAGCAUCCGGAAUGCACCCGCAGCCCCACAGCAUCCGGAAUACACCCGCAAUCCCACAGCAUCUGGAAUGCACCCGCAAUCCCACAUCCAGAGCAUCCGGAAUGCACCCGCAAUCCCACAGCAUCCGGAAUGCACCCGCAAUCCCACAGCAUCCGGAAUGCACCCGCAAUCCCACAGCAUCCGGAAUGCACCCGCAAUCCCACAGCGUCCGGAAUGCACGUGCAAUCCCACAUCGACAGCGUGUUUUCUCACUGUCCCUGGGGAUUCCAAGCCACUAGCCUCUGUUCCCACAGGAA
rnacentral:lncRNA from 1 species